GGAGAGACCCGCCUCCUUCCGUUAGGGCGCGAUGGCGUCACUAAGCGGCCGUUAGCGGCCCCGGCGUCGUCCUCGUGGCGCCAUAGGCCAGCCCUACAACCUUGAAGCCUCGCAGGCUAAGAAAAGCCCUAGUGCCAAGUUGGAUCUCUUGGGAAGAGGUUGGGGCUCUCAUACCCUGAAGGCUCUUCAGCAAGGACAUUGUCUCUAGGGGCUUUACCAGACACUGGCAAAAUAUGACAUUGAUGCAGCUGUCCAACUGAUUUUAUGCCGAGAAAAAUUCAUCGUGAAGGACGUGUACAAGUAUCUGG